UCGGUGUUGGGACUGGCUGGGGGAGUGCGGGGCUGCAGCCAGCACUCUGUCUCUUGCCUGCGGCAGAGCCGCCGGAGCUUGCUCCUUUGGCGCGUCUGUUCUUCCCGCCGAGAGCUUGAGAUGUGGUAAUGUCAGCCAGACUUCUCAGAUCCUGGGCCAGAUCUCACUAUAUUUUAUCAAAAGCGCGUCAGUGCCAAAGGCUUGUUCAUCGAACAUUAAAACCACUUAAGGAAUUUGAGACCACAACAUGCAACACCCUGGCAAGAAGUCAGAACGUGAAUUUGUUCUUUCCUGAUACAGCAGCUGUUGGUUUGAAUAAGUCCCAGGUCCUGGAAAUGAACCGGAAAAUAUCAAAUACAAACGUACUCUCUCCAUUAAAUACCGCACGUUACCAAGAUGAAAAAGAGCACCUUCCAACUAGGAGCUCCCUUGGUACUCAUGGGAAGGUGACUCACAAACCAAAUCUGUUAGGUUUUAAGUGGUUUAUAAAAAUACUUAAGAGACAUUCCUCAUCUGUGUCAACGGAAACACUUGUUUCUAAACAAGACUUUCCGCAAAUCAAGAGACCACUGAAAGCAUCAAGGACCAGGCAGCCAUCCAGGACCAACCUUCCAGUUCUGCCUGUGAACAAGGACCUGAUGCACUGUACUGCAUUUGCAACCGCAGAUGAAUACCAUCUUGGAAGUCUCUCUCAAGAUCUGGCCUCCCAUGGAUAUGUUGAAGUAACAAGCUUGCCUAGAGACGCAGCAAAUAUUUUGGUGAUCGGUGUGGAAAGUUCUGCAAAAGAAGGUGAUCCUGGAACGAUAUUCUUCUUCAGGGAAGGAGCUGCUGUCUUCUGGAAUGUGAAAGACAAAACUAUGAAGCAUGUGAUGCAAGUUCUUGAAAAACAUGAAAUUCAGCCCUAUGAAAUUGCAUUGGUACAAUGGGAGAAUGAAGAGCUUAACUACUCAAAAACAGAGGGACAGUCAAAACUUCACAGAGGGGAAAUCAGGUUAAAUUCAGAGCUAGAUUUAGAUGACGCCAUUCUAGAGAAAUUUGCUUUCUCAAAUGCUCUUUGCCUUUCAGUGAAACUGGCUAUCUGGGAAGCAUCACUGGAUAAAUUUGUUGAAUCUAUUCAGUCGAUUCCAGAGGCUUUAAAAGCUGGGAAGAAAGUGAAACUAUCUCAUGAAGAAGUUAUGCAGAAAAUGGGUGAACUCUUUGCCUUAAGACACCAUAUAAACUUGAGUUCAGACUUCUUGAUCACUCCUGAUUUCUACUGGGACAGAGAAAAUCUGGAAGAACUUUAUGAUAAAACUUGUCGGUUCCUCAGCAUUACUCGUAGAGUUAAGGUCAUGAAUGAAAAGCUUCAGCACUGCAUGGAGCUAACAGAUCUGAUGCGCAAUCACCUGACUGAGAAGAGGACGCUCCGCCUGGAAUGGAUGAUUGUCAUCCUUAUCACCAUAGAGGUAAUGUUUGAGCUGGGACGAGUAUUUUUCUGAUUAAGUGACGACCAAAGGAAAAGUGUCAUUGCAAGAUACAUUGAAGUUCUACAAUCAAAAAUAAAUGCUCCACUGUUGAGAUUAUUAGGUACCUGAAAGGACUAUGCAACAAGGACUAUGCAACACGUGGGCACAGAUAGUUUAAGAAUUGCUUUCUAGGGACUUCCCUGGUGGCGCAGUGAUUAAGAAUCCACUUGCCAAUGCAGGGGACAUGGGUUCGAGCCCUGGUCCGGGAAGAUCCCACAUGCCGCAGAGCAACUAAGCUCGAGCACCACAACUACUGAGCCUGCACUUUAGAGCCUGUGAGCCACAACUACUGAAGCCCACGCACCUAGAGCCUGUGCUCCGCGACAAAAGAAGCCACCGCAAUGAGAAGCCCGCACACUGCAACGAAGAGUAGCCCCCGUUCGCUGCAACCAGAGAAAGCCCGCGCGCAGCAACAAAGACCCAACGCAGCCAAGAAAUAAAUUUUUUAAAAAAGAAAACUCAUUUAUUUCUACCUUAAAAACAAAAAAGCUUUCUAGAUCCUCAAGUUCCACAUCAGCACUUUCAUAAAAUCGCUGUGCCUGCACUGUCACCUGUAAGCAGCAUAUCAAGCCUGUUCUCCUUUCCCAUUUUCCCAUCUCACAAUGUACAGAAGGCAUCUCACCCAUCUUCAAUUUUA